UUGCUUGGCGACCAUAGCGUUUUGGACCCACCUGAUUCCAUCCCGAACUCAGAAGUGAAACGAAACAGCGUCGAUGGUAGUGUGGGGUCUCCCCAUGUGAGAGUAGAACAUCGCCAGGCUUUAA
rnacentral:rRNA from 1 species